rnacentral:tRNA from 1 species
AGAAUAAUAGUUUAAUUUAAAAUUUUUAAAUUGCAUUUAAAGGAUAUUAAAAAAAUUUAUUUUA